CUGGACCUACGGGGCGCAGCAGUAGGGAAUUUUCGUCAAUGGGCGCAAGCCUGAACGAGCAAUGCCGCGUGAACGAGGAAGGUCUUCGGAUCGUAAAGUCCUGUUGAAGGGGAAAAAGAGCGGAGAGAGGAAAUGAACUCCGAUUGAUAUUACCCCUCGAGGAAGUCACGGCUAACUACGUGCCAGCAGCCGCGGUAAUACGUAGGGGGCAAGCGUUAUCCGGAUUUACUGGGUGUAAAGGGAGCGUAGACGGCAGCGCAAGUCUGGAGUGAAAUGCCGGGGCCCAACCCCGGAACUGCUUUGGA
rnacentral:rRNA from 1 species